AGAGUUUGAUCAUGGCUCAGAACGAACGCUGGCGGCGCGCUUAACACAUGCAAGUCGAACGGGUUUUUAAAGAGUAGCAAUACUUUUUACGAACUAGUGGCGGACGGGUGAGUAACACAUAGGUAACCUGCCCUUAGGAUUGGGAUACUCCCGGGAAACCGGGCACAAUACCGGAUAUCAUUGCAAGAUCAUGUCUUGUAAUGAAAGCUGCGAGCAAUCGUGGCGCCUAAGGAUGGGCCUGUGGCCUAUCAGCUUGUUGGUGAGGUAACGGCUCACCAAGGCUAAGACGGGUAGCCGGACUGAGAGGUCGAUCGGCCACACUGGAACUGAGACACGGUCCAGACUCCUACGGGAGGCAGCAGUGGGGAAUUUUGCGCAAUGGGCGAAAGCCUGACGCAGCGACGCCGCGCGGGGGAAGAAGGCCUUCGGGUUGUAAACUCCUUUAGUAUGGGAAGAAGUCCCGAGCAAUCGGGAUGACGGUACCGUAAGAAUAAGCCACGGCUAACUCUGUGCCAGCAGCCGCGGUAAGACAGAGGUGGCAAGCGUUGUUCGGAUUUACUGGGCUUAAAGGGCGUGUAGGCGUCCCGAUAAGUCAGAUGUGGAAGCCUUGGGCUUAACCCAAGAAGUGCAUUUGAAACUGUCGGGAUUGAGUCGUGCAAGGGAGGGCGGAAUUCCUGGUGUAGCGGUGAAAUGCGUAGAUAUCAGGAGGAAGGCCGGUGGUGAAGACGGCCCUCUAGGCAAUGACUGACGCUGAGGCGCGAAAGCGUGGGUAGCAAACAGGAUUAGAUACCCUGGUAGUCCACGCCCUAAACGGUGCGUACUAGGUGUGGGUGGCGAUAGUCAUCCGUGCCGUAGGGAAACCAUUAAGUACGCCGCCUGGGGAGUACGGCCGCAAGGUUGAAACUCAAAUGAAUUGACGGGGGCCCGCACAAGCGGUGGAGCAUGUGGUUUAAUUCGACGCUACGCGCAAAACCUUACCUAGGCUUGACAUGUUAGUGGUAGGAACCUGAAAGGGUAACGACCUAUUCUUCGGAAUAGGAGCUUUCACAGGUGCUGCAUGGCUGUCGUCAGCUCGUGCCGUGAGGUGUUGGGUUAAGUCCCGCAACGAGCGCAACCCUCAUCCUCUGUUGCCCUUAACGGGGCUCUCUGAGGAAACUGCCGGCGAAGAGCCGGAGGAAGGUGGGGAUGACGUCAAGUCCGCAUGGCCCUUAUGCCUAGGGCUACACACGUGCUACAAUGGCAGAUACAAAGGGUGGCCAAACCGCGAGGUGGAGCCAAUCUCAUAAAGUCUGUCCAAGUUGGGAUCGGAGUCUGCAAUUCGACUCCGUGAACCUGGAAUCGCUAGUAAUCGUGGAUCAGCACGCCACGGUGAAUACGUUCCCGGGCCUUGUACACACCGCCCGUCACACCACGAAAGUCUGUUGUACCCGAAGUGGGUGAGCCAACCAGCAAUGGAGGCAGCCUCCUAAGGUAUGGCCGGUAAUUGGGGUGAAGUCGUAACAAGGUAGCCG
rnacentral:rRNA from 1 species